AAAUAGAGACCAACGUGGCCGGGCAGGAAGAGCAGGGUCCCGCCUUCAGGUGUUUGGGACUCAGCUGAGGGUGUGGGUGCCCCGCGGUGGGGGCUGAACCUUCCUGGGGUGUGGAGAGACGAAAGGAGCCCAGAUCCAAGUUCCCUCGUUCCCGCUUUGGCAUAAGUUGCCCUGGCGGUCUCAUGAGAGAGAGAAAGAGCUGGGACCCUCCUCGCCCCAGUGAGUGUGAUGUCUUGCUCCGGGUGUCCUGGGGCAACUUUCUAUACAGGCGGGACGUGGGAGGAUCAGACAGACAAGGGUGUUGACUCUGCAGCACAGAACCAGUAGUUUGUGGAGAAGAAUGGAGGUGUGGUGUUGAAUCUGCUAGACAGGCUACUGAAGCAAAAGUCAAGAGAUCCAGAUUCCAUCAUGGGGACACUUUAG
rnacentral:lncRNA from 1 species